UUUUGACCUCAAAUCAGGUAGGACUACCCGCUG
rnacentral:rRNA from 1 species